GUCUAUGGCCAUAGCAUUAUGAACACACCUAAUCUUGACUGAUCUUGGAAGGUAAGCAGGGUAGGGCCUGGUUAGUACUUAGACU
rnacentral:rRNA from 1 species